UGGCCCAGGAGCUCCAUAUGCCCACAGGGCAUCUGAAAAAGAAAAAAAGGAGGAAAAAAAAAAAGGCAGGUAAAAGCCAGAUCAGGCAGGGCUUUGCAGGCCUUGGGAAGGAGUUUCUCUUGCAAAUGGCUUCUCCCAGUGGCUUUUAACCAAGAUAGCAGUACGAUUUGAUUUAAAACAUUUGAUUUUUAAAAUAUCCCUUUGGCUGCUGUGUGAACUGACUACAGUGACAUGAGGGUGGGGACAAGGAAACUGGAUCUAAGCCCCGGCAAAGGGCUUGGACCGGAGCGGCAGCAGCAGAGAAGGUAGUACGCAGCCAGGUUAGGAUAUACUCUGAGGAUCAAGCCUACAGAAUGUGCUGAUGGAUCUGUGAGCCCUGAGUUUGCUGUGGGGGAAAAGGAUGACUAGAGGUUGUAUCCCAAGAUUUUGCUCUGGGCCACUGCCUGCAGCUUCCUUCUCGGUGGUCCAUCUCGGGGCACACAGGCCUCCUGCCUCAGCCGCCUCCCAUGGAAGCCCAGUCCUGACCAUGGCAGAGACAAUGCCGUGUGUCCACCAAACCAAUCCACUGUCCACACAGACACACAGGAUGGCCGUGUUCCCCAGGCCCCCAGCAUUUAGACAAAGCUAGACGUCCUCUCCAUCCAUCGUCUCCCUCCCUUCAUCUCCAUCCUCUCAUCUCCAUCCAUCCAAUGCCCUGUGACUGGAGGUGACAUACACCACGUCCUGGCCUGGCCUCUAACACCUCCCAAUAAUCUUGCACAUUCUCACCCUUUCUCCUCCUUCAUCUUCUGAAAAAGACUCUCAGGAUCUAGAAAGUGGCAGAACCACCCGGCAAAAGGUUCUGGGCUCCCCAACUACCUGUGUGGUGUGGAGUCCCCCUCCCUUUCCCAUCACCGUGAAGCAAGAGAAACACACCUUCAUUUUGUUAAGCCUUUGAGACGCAGAGGGGUUUUUUGUAACUGAGUUUGCCUUUCAUGAUUAAUGCAUACGACCCUCCUCUAUUUUCUGUGCCCACCCUCUUCCACAAUUCUCACUCCAUUCCCAUGGAUCUGAAACCAUCAGUGCACUGAGAGCUCCCAGAUUUAUAUGUUCAGCCCACACGUCUCUUCCAAGCCAUAAAUCUAAACGUUCUCCUCAAGCUCGCCUUUUCCCUGCCCAGUGAUCCCAGUACAUCACCAAGUCUGAGAGUCCUGUUUCCACAAUACACCCCCAGCCCUCCACUGCCCCCUCUGCUGCCACACAAAGCCACAGCCCAGUGCUUGGGACGAGGAGGACAUGUGGCUUCAGAGAGACUGGGAUAUUCUGACCCUGGCCCUGUUAUAAGAAAAAGCAACUCCCUGCUUGUCGGCGGAAGAGUGAUCAAGACGACCCACCCCCAAGGUAUUUCCGGUGCCCCUAGUCACUGCUAGGGUUCCCAGAGCAGCUCCUCCCAGAAUCAGCCUCCAGUCCAAUGCAUGCCAUUCCUUUCUGCACUCCUCCUCGCUCGUACAGCUCAGACCUCUGUCUUCUCUCCUUCUCUCCCGAGCUGCAGGCUAAGUUCCCAACCGCGCCCCACUUUUAGCAUCCUCUCCUCACCUGGCCUGACCCUACCUGCAAACCCUCCGAUCAUUCUCACCAGCCUCGCUUCCCAAGCCAACCGUUCGGACGCAGCUUCAGCGGAGCCCACGUCGCCUCCUUGUGGUCCAAAGACAAAAGUGCAGGCGGGCUGCGCUCACCUGGGCGGGGUCUCCUCCCGCUGGAGUGUCCGGAAAUCCAUGGGUUCCCGUGAAUCUAACGAAGCCCAGGUGGCUGGAUUAAUAUCCCCGAUGGCAAGAGAGCCCCAGGAAGUGGACAUACUCUCCUCGUGGGCGGUAGUAACUGCUCUCGGAUCAUUCUUAUACCAAGAACAGGCAGAGAGGGAGGAACCCCAGGCGGCCAGUCCAAACCGAGGAAAUCCAACUGAACUUUUUCCCUGAAGCCCCCUCGGCAGAUGCUCCCCCAUGGCCCUGGCGACCCCAGAAGGGGCAGAAGAGGAGAAGACUACCCUCCCCCCACCCAGACGGCUCCUGUCUUGCUGCACCUCCAUCAGGUAUUCACAGCCAAGUCUCCCUGCUUCCCAACCAUCCUCGAUGCUCUAACAGCACAGCAGCCAUUCUGAUGGGAUGAGACAGUCUUCACUGCUUCAUGGCAGCACUCUACUCGGUCAGUUUUGAAACAGUUACGUGUUUCCUGCCAUUUUAAAAGCAUAAGCUUUCAUUUGAACUGGGCUCAUUUCUGAUGAGAGGCAGGCAGCCCUGGCCAGCGGAAAGUGCCCCGACCUGUAGUGCUACACGUCAGGGUUCUGACCCACGCUGUCACUGAGAGACCCUGAGCCUCAAAGAACUUUUCUCCAGGCCUCAGUUUCCUCAUCUUAGGGGUGGGGGGUCGGGGGGCGAGGCUAGCAUGAGAAUCUACUGUGCUCCAACCUCUUAGCUGAAACAGGCCUGGAUCCAUUUAAGCCGGGUCGCGCUUCCGCUCCUUCGUGCUAUGUUGCAUUUCUGUUUUGUUUCUUUCAUUCAUUUGGCUGCCCCGGGAGGGGGGCGCAGGCCCCGCCCACCGCCUUCGAGCCUGGAGAGCCACCGAGAAGGGGGCCCUCCGGGGUGCUAGAGAGGGCGCCUUGCCCGGCUGACGCGGGCGCACUUCCGGCCUUUGUGUGCCACCCAAGACGGCGGCUCCAGGGGGGCAGCCUGCGCUCCCCACUCCCGGUGGUGCGGCGCCGGGGGUGCGUGGGUUCCCCGGUUAUGCAGCGUCAUUCUCAACCUGUGCGGCUCUAGGAGGCCCCGCGCCCGCUGCGAACGCCCUGUGUCCCUUCCAACCCCUGCAUUUUUGGUCUUGCCCUCCUCUUGCUCUCUUCUCGAUGGGGGACUUAGCAGGACUUGAGGUUGGGGAGCGGGAUUGUCCCAGGUUUGACCCCUCAUUCGUUCAGGCCUCCUAGGAGUCAGCCUGGCUGCAAAGUUCAGGCGGAUCCCGCUCCCUCCCACUUCCUUGCUGCCGCCCCCAGACUUGACUUUUGAAACGACCCUCUGGGAAGCCCAGGUCGUUGAACCAAAAAAACGCUAACUGGAUCCCCCGGCGUCCCGUGUGCUUUAUUCUCCCACGUACACUUAAUCAGCUGAGUUUUAGCCCGGGCAUAGGGGGAAUUAGAUCAGACUAGAUUCUUGCGUUUUCCCAGACCUGAAUGCUCUAGCAAGAGAACGGAUACGUGUGUGAUGCCGAUAUAAUGUGAGAGAGACGGUGGGAGGUAUACGCGAGACAGAGGAUGCAAAUAGAGAAGGAAGGAUCCGGUUAAAAAGCUGCUGGGGCAGAGAUCAAGUGGAUAAGACUUUGCAAGAUGGGUGGUAGUGGAAGGAGGGUGAGAACUGGAUCCGUGGAAAUGCCCUACCAGCCCAGGACAUUCCCCAUAGAGCUGGUGCAAAAGCACAAAGGUGAAAGGGAUGGGAGGGCUGGGGAGAGAGUGGUAAAUAUUUCAACACCAUUCUGAUAAUGUUUAUUUUGUGCUGCGCACUGGAGAUGAAAGAAUGUGUGGCCACAGAUCCCUGUUCAAGCGGUUGUUAGAUCCCUUUUGCUAAAAAUAGUGAAAGUGGUUCAAAGGUACAAACUCAUAGUUAGACAAAUUCUGGGAAUGUAGCUAUAGUGAAAAAUAAAAAUCAUUAUGUAAAAAGUUAAAAAAUAAUAAUAAUAAAUUCUGGGGAUGCAAUGUACAGCAUGGUGACUAGUUAAUACUAGAGUAUUGUAUACAAACGCAUUGUGUAUUUGAAAGUUGCUAAGACAGUGGAUCUUAAAAGUUGGCAUCGCAAGAAAAAAAUUAACUGUGUGAGCUGAUGGAUGUUAACUAAACUCAUUGCGAUCCGUUUCACAAUAUUUCCAUAUAUCAAAUCAUUAUGUUGUAUAUCCAAAGCUAAUACAAUAUUAUAUGUCAAUUCUAUUUCAAUAAAACU